AGCUUUGUGCAGUGGCAGUAUCAUAGCCGAUGAGGUUUAUCCAAGGUGCAAUUAUAGCUAAUUGAAAAUAAAGUUUUUUUAAAAAAACCUCUUUCAUGUUCAUUGUGUUUUAGAAAAAGCUGGAUGUGGCGGCAGCUA